AGAGUUUGAUACCUGGCUCAGAGCGAACGCUGGCGGCAGGCCUAACACAUGCAAGUCGAACGAACUCUUCGGAGUUAGUGGCGGACGGGUGAGUAACACGUGGGAACGUGCCUUUAGGUUCGGAAUAACUCAGGGAAACUUGUGCUAAUACCGAAUGUGCCCUUCGGGGGAAAGAUUUAUCGCCUUUAGAGCGGCCCGCGUCUGAUUAGCUAGUUGGUGAGGUAAAGGCUCACCAAGGCGACGAUCAGUAGCUGGUCUGAGAGGAUGAUCAGCCACAUUGGGACUGAGACACGGCCCAAACUCCUACGGGAGGCAGCAGUGGGGAAUCUUGCGCAAUGGGCGAAAGCCUGACGCAGCCAUGCCGCGUGAAUGAUGAAGGUCUUAGGAUUGUAAAAUUCUUUCACCGGGGACGANAANGAC
rnacentral:rRNA from 1 species